CCUCACAUGCAUCGGACCUUCAGUAUUGAAGGGUCAUAGAUCAGAUUGUGGAGAGAGUUGGUGCCAUAUUUUCAAACUUCAAACAGCAAAUGUUUCAGAGGCACGACAAGCUCAAGCAGACCUCUUAAAAAUAGUAUGAGGAGUUUCGUCAGAAUAUAGGAGUUUCGUUAGAAUAUUAAGGGUUUGGCUUGAAGAUUUGAGGUGUUAGAGAGGGUGCAAAGUCAGAGUUCUGAUCUU
rnacentral:lncRNA from 1 species